rnacentral:tRNA from 1 species
AAGAAGGUGACAGAGUGGUUAUGUGACCGGCUUGAAACCGGAAUAUGGAGGUUCAAUUCCUCCCCUUCUCG